rnacentral:sRNA from 1 species
UUGUCUUCUUCUUCUUCUUCUGC